rnacentral:rRNA from 1 species
UGGGGAAUAUUGCACAAUGGGCGAAAGCCUGAUGCAGCAACGCCGCGUGAGUGAUGAAGGCCUUCGGGUUGUAAAAGCUCUGUCUUUUGGGACGAUAAUGACGGUACCAAAGGAGGAAGCCACGGCUAACUACGUGCCAGCAGCCGCGGUAAUACGUAGGUGGCAAGCGUUGUCCGGAUUUACUGGGCGUAAAGGAUGCGUAGGCGGAUUUUUAAGUGAGAUGUGAAAACCCUAAGCUUAACUUGGGGACUGCAUUUCAUACUGGAAAUCUAGAGUGCGGGAGAGGAGAAUGGAAUUCCUAGUGUAGCGGUGAAAUGCGUAGAGAUUAGGAAGAACACCAGUGGCGAAGGCGAUUCUCUGGACCGUAACUGACGCUGAGGCAUGAAAGCGUGGGUAGCAAACAGGAUUAGAUACCCUGGUAGUCCACGCCGUAAACGAUGAGUACUAGGUGUAGGAGGUAUCGACCCCUUCUGUGCCGCAGUUAACGCAAUAAGUACUCCGCCUGGGAAGUACGAUCGCAAGAUUAAAACUCAAAGGAA